CUACGGGGGGCACCAGUGAGGAAUUUUGCGCAAUGGGGGCAACCCUGACGCAGCAACGCCGCGUGAGUGAAGAAGGCCUUUGGGUCGUAAAGCUCUGUCAACAGGGAAGAAGUUACUUCAUAUUAAUAGUAUGUAGUAUUGACGGUACCUGUGGAGGAAGCAUCGGCUAACUCCGUGCCAGCAGCCGCGGUAAUACGGGGGAUGCAAGCGUUAUUCGGAAUCAUUGGGCGUAAAGGGCACGCAGGCGGCUCUGUCAGUCAGAUGUGAAAGCCCGGGGCUCAACCCCGGACGUGCAUUUGAAACAGCAGAGCUUGAGUACGGUAGAGGAAAGCGGAAUUCCUGGUGUAGAGGUGAAAUUCGUAGAUAUCAGGAGGAACACCGGUGGCGAAGGCGGCUUUCUGGACCGAAACUGACGCUGAGGUGCGAAGGCGUGGGUAGCGAACAGGAUUAGAUACCCGUGUAGUC
rnacentral:rRNA from 1 species